CCUACACUUAGAGUCAUUACAGGUAUGUCUGCUGGAUCACAUGUAUAGCUAUAGGUUGCAGAAGGGAGAGAGGCUAUGUCUAUACUCAGUAUUCCGAUCUAUGAACAUCUAAGUGAUUAGUAACCUAAAACG